UGCAGUCGAGCGGGGAGGAGCUUGCUACCUGACCUAGCGGCGGACGGGUGAGUAAUGCUUAGGAAUCUGCCUAUUAGUGGGGGACAACAUUCCGAAAGGAAUGCUAAUACCGCAUACGCCCUACGGGGGAAAGCAGGGGAUCUUCGGACCUUGCGCUAAUAGAUGAGCCUAAGUCAGAUUAGCUAGUUGGUGGGGUAAAGGCCUACCAAGGCGACGAUCUGUAGCGGGUCUGAGAGGAUGAUCCGCCACACUGGGACUGAGACACGGCCCAGACUCCUACGGGAGGCAGCAGUGGGGAAUAUUGGACAAUGGGCGAAAGCCUGAUCCAGCCAUGCCGCGUGUGUGAAGAAGGCCUUUUGGUUGUAAAGCACUUUAAGCGAGGAGGAGGCUACUUGGAUUAAUACUCUAGGAUAGUGGACGUUACUCGCAGAAUAAGCACCGGCUAACUCUGUGCCAGCAGCCGCGGUAAUACAGAGGGUGCGAGCGUUAAUCGGAUUUACUGGGCGUAAAGCGUGCGUAGGCGGCUUUUUAAGUCGGAUGUGAAAUCCCUGAGCUUAACUUAGGAAUUGCAUUCGAUACUGGGAAGCUAGAGUAUGGGAGAGGAUGGUAGAAUUCCAGGUGUAGCGGUGAAAUGCGUAGAGAUCUGGAGGAAUACCGAUGGCGAAGGCAGCCAUCUGGCCUAAUACUGACGCUGAGGUACGAAAGCAUGGGGAGCAAACAGGAUUAGAUACCCUGGUAGUCCAUGCCGUAAACGAUGUCUACUAGCCGUUGGGGCCUUUGAGGCUUUAGUGGCGCAGCUAACGCGAUAAGUAGACCGCCUGGGGAGUACGGUCGCAAGACUAAAACUCAAAUGAAUUGACGGGGGCC
rnacentral:rRNA from 1 species